UACGGUUUUGAUUUGUUUUCUGCCGUGAAUUUAUGUUUAUAUAGAUUGUUUUUAUUACUAUCAAAGACUACCUAACAUUGUGCAUGUUUAAAAAUGUAUGGCGCACAAUAUAAAUGGUGUUUUGUGCCAUGUUGUACAAGUACAUCGAAGAAAUUGGUUUAAAGCAGCUAGAAGAGAUAUGGCAAAAUCAAAAUCAACGUUUUACUGCUGCGAAGAUCAUUUUAAUCUGGAAGAAAAGAAGAUAUAGAAAAUUUUGUACGUUAUAAAUUAAUGGGUGGAAUAGUAUAUUAAUAUUAAAGCAUAAGUUGCAGAAGGCGCUAUAUUCUAGCACGAGU